AUUGAACGCUGGCGGCAGGCCUAACACAUGCAAGUCGAACGAGUCGCGGACGGGUGUGUAAUGUCUGGGAAACUGCCUGUUGGAGGGGGGUAACUACUGGAAACGGUAGCUAAUACCGCAUAACGUCAGAUGUGCACAGAUGGGAUUCGCUUGUUGGUGGGAAAACGGCUCACCAAGGCGACGAUGCCUAGCUGGUCUGAGAGGAUGACCAGCCACACGGGAACGAGGACACUGUCCAGACUCCUACGGGAGGCAGCAGUGGGGAAUAUUGCACAAGGGGCGGAAGGCUGAUGCAGCCAUGCCGCGUGUCUGAAGAAGGCCUUCGGGUUGUAAAGUACUUUCCGCGGGGAGGCGUUACCCGCAGAAGAAGCACCGGCUAACUCCGUGCCAGCAGCCGCGGUAAUAC
rnacentral:rRNA from 1 species